rnacentral:rRNA from 1 species
CCUACGGGAGGCAGCAGUGAGGAAUAUUGGUCAAUGGGCGCGAGCCUGACCCAGCCACGUCGCGUGAAGGAUGAAUGCCCUCCGGGUUGUAAACUUCUUUUAUAAAGGAAUAAAGUGAGGCACGUGUGCCUUUUUGUAUGUACUUUAUGAAUAAGGAUCGGCUAACUCCGUGCCAGCCGCCGCGGUAAUACGGAGGAUCCGAGCGUUAUCCGGAUUUAUUGGGUUUAAAGGGAGCGUAGAUGGGUUGUUAAGUCAGUUGUGAAAGUUUGCGGCUCAACCGGAAAAUUGCAAUUGAUACUGGCAGUCUGGAGUACAGGUGAGGUAGGCGGAAUUCGUGGUGUAGCGGUGAAAUGCGUAGAUAUCACGAAGAACUCCGAUUGCGAAGGCAGCUUACUAAACUGCCACUGACAUUGAUGCUCGAAAGUGUGGGUAGCAAACAGGAUUAGAUACCCGUGUAGUC